GAGAUUCUAGUAAAAUAUUAUUACACUACCUUGUCAGGGUAAAAUUGUGGGUUUAACCCCCACGAAUCUUA
rnacentral:tRNA from 1 species